rnacentral:rRNA from 1 species
AGUGAACGCUGGCGGUAGGCCUAACACAUGCAAGUCGAACGGCAGCACAGUAAGAGCUUGCUCUUACUGGUGGCGAGUGGCGGACGGGUGAGGAAUACAUCGGCAUCUACUUUUUCGUGGGGGAUAACGUAGGGCCACUUACGCUACUACCUCAUACGACCUACGGCUGAAAGCAGGAGAUCUUCGGACCUUUCGUGAUUGUAUUAGCUGAUGUCGGAUUAGCUAGUUGGCGGGGUAAAGGCCCACCAAGGCGACGAUCCGUAGCUGGUCUGAGAGGAUGAUCAGCCACACUGGAACUGAGACACGGUCCAGACUCCUACGGGAGGCAGCAGUGGGGAAUAUUGGACAAUGGGCGCAAGCCUGAUCCAGCCAUACCGCGUGGGUGAAGAAGGCCUUCGGGUUGUAAAGCCCUUUUGUUGGGAAAGAAAAGCAGCAGGUUAAUACCCCGCUGUUCUGACGGUACCCAAAGAAUAAGCACCGGCUAACUUCGUG